UUUUCAGAUGAGAGAGAUGCCAUACAGAAGAAGACGUUCACAAAGUGGGUUAACAAGCAUUUGAAGAAGUGCGGGCGCAACGUUCGCGACCUGUUCGUCGACCUGCGAGACGGAAAGAACCUCCUGGGACUGCUGGAGGUGCUGUCCGGCGAGCGGUUGCCGUCGCAGAAGGGCCAGCUGCGCUUCCAUCAGCUGCAGAAUGUGCAGAUCGCGCUGGACUUCCUGCACUUCAGGA